AAAUAUGCAAUAAUAAUAGCAAGGUCAUUUCCAUAGUAGACAGUAUAUAACACACCUUGGGGUGGUUCUCUUCAUCCCUCCCUCUCCUCUCUCUCAUCAUCACUGCUCUCUCUCUCUCUCUUUCUCAUUCAUUCAUGGCUUCCAAGGCCCAAGGAAACCAUGGAGGAGCUAUGCUCCCAUUCUUGUGUGCGUUGCUGGUGUUGGCUUGUAUGGUACACAGUGCUGAUGCGAUGAUUUCCGGGGGAUGCAUUCCUCGGCCUCGUUGCCAAGUAAAUCCAACAAACACAUGCGUGAGACAAUGUCGACUUCAGCCUGCCGGGCCGGAUCGGGUAGCCUGCAUCAUGGACUGCAGGUCGAAUUCAUGUGGGUGCGGCGUUCCUCCUUAAAGCACCGUUUGAGAAUGAGGAGAGCCCAAUGCUUAAAUAAGGCCGAGGCCAUCUAGCAUUAUGUACUUCUUCUUUGGCACACGUAGUGUCUGAUGUUGUUCUCUGUAGAUGUAGGCUUAGCUAGUCUUCUUCCCCUUAAUGUAGCCUAUAAGCCAUCCACAUGUAAUUUUCUAUGUUUUUCGUUUAUAUUAAUUUUCUAUGUUUUUUGUUUAUAUUUUCAUUUUGAAUGGAAAAUGAUAAUAAUCUCCUUGUACUAAAAGUAAAUCAUCUUAUUGAAGAGAUUUAUCAAACUUUUAGCAUUUAAAAUUCAGAAACGUGAUUUGUGGCCUUUCGUCAUGCUAAAUAGGAGAGUCCUAAUUUCUAAAUGUUUUUAAGCUCAAUCACUUCCACUUAAUCUCCUAUGUCGAUUUAUCAAAUUUUGGGUGUCUAUCUUUGAAAUAGAUAUGGAGAAAAUUUUUGUUAGCUGCCAACCUAACAUAUUCGUCCUCCUUUCUCCGGGCUUGGGGUUAGCAUGAUUGGUUUGGGACUUGCGGCCAAAUAGUUGGGAUAAAGCUCAC
rnacentral:lncRNA from 1 species